AUGGGAGAAAAGGGAGGUCGAGGAGAAAGAGGGGAAAAGGGUGACAGAGGAUCUCCGGGGAGGAGAGGUCUAAAGGGUCAGAAGGGUGAACAAGGCCCCCCUGGUCUGGACCAGCCAUGUCCUGUGAGCUGUGAUGAGAAUCUGUCUGAGAAGACAGAGGUUUCUUCUUCUGACUCUGCUGCUCUUCCACCUUCGGGCCCUGAAGCCCCCUGUCCUGUGGGAUUGGAUGGGUUACCAAUACCAGGCUGCUUGCAUAAGGAGGAAAUGGCGAGGCAGAAGCUCAAACGCAAGCGUCUCUCCCAGCCCUGAGAGGGGGUGGGGCUUGGUGGAGAAAGGCAGCAACAGAACAGGCAGAAUGCGUGGAGGGUAGAUUGGCUUUUCGGAAGCAGGGCUUGCCACGCCUCUGCGUCAUUUUACGAAUGCUCACAUCCUCCGUUUUGGAGUCUCUCCAGGAGGGGACGACAGAACUCUGCCUCUCCACAAACGGAGAUGACGCUGAUGAUAUUCCGCAGUUGCUUUACAGCCAGGUUUUUGGGGGAUUCACAGACGUCCCUGGCACAUAAGGAAGGAUUUACCUAUGUGGGAAUAAAGGACAUGUGAUUGUGACAUCUUGUGUGAAUCUGUUGUAAAAUAUAUGAUUGCAUGACCAUAACAAGACUUGUGUUUAGCAUCUUGUAUCUACUGUGUCCUGAAAUGAAAUUUUAAACAGAGUUUGCAAUCUUUCUAUACAAACAAGUCUUUAACAAACAUUUAAUGGCUCACAUUUGCCUUACAUUUUAUUUUUUUGUGUACUGCUUCCUAUUUUUUAUGCAUUCCUGUGCAUUUUCUUUAAAAUUUACUGAAACAUCAACGCCAGAUUGAAGGAACCAUGAACAGUAUUUGUGUAAAUCAGAAUUGCCUUGGUAACCAGAUGUCCGAUCAUUACGUAUUACCUGCAGAGGACGUUCUUUGGUUGUUAUUUUUGUUUAUUUAGGCAACAGAAAUAUUUGCUGCUUAAACAAAGGUUUGUCGUUUGCUUUUUUAACGUAUUUUCUUAUGAAUUUUACCCAGGGAAUGAAGGACUAACAUGCUAAAGUUUUACAUUUGAACCAAAAAUGCAUACAAGAUUGUGUUCAUUUAAAUCAAACAAUACCCCUAUGACAUUUCUGUCAUUUUACUUUUGUUUGGGCAGAUUCUUUAAGCUCCUUACAGUAUUAGUCUGUUCUAGUGGGUGGCAUUUGUUGCUGUUGUCAUUUUAGAAAAAAACCACUCAGAUGGGUGCUCAAAGACAUGCACAACAGCUGAAGAUACUUUUACAGAACUGAAGGAAAUGAAUUGUUUUGUUGGUUUUCUGUAGUGCCUUUUUACAUGAAUUUUAUUACAGGACUAACUUACCAAAGUACCUUAUGACAUUUUUAGCAAACAUGCAUGCAAAAGUUGUAUUGUGUUUGUUCAUAUUUAACAUCCGUUUAUCUUAAACAUAUCCAUCAUUGUUUUGGCUGAAAGGUGUAUGUCAUUGACUUUUUCAAUCAUUUAAAUGCAUAAACAGAACUGACAGACACACAGUUACAGCAAUGCAAUAAAAACUGUAUUUUUUGUGUAUUCCUCGUAGAUAUGAGCUGAUAUUUUUUCUCAUCAGUACAACUGAUUGCUUCUUGACUUGGACGGCACAUAUGUUUUCAUUGAAGCUCGGAUCCAAUCAAAGAAUUCACAUUUUAACAAUAGCAAAUUUGAAAUUAAAAUACUGAUUGAAUGAUAGUAGCCACUGAUUCACAACUCGAGCUUUAGGUUGUGCUGCAAUUUUUGUAUUUUUGCUACUUGCGUCUUGCAGUCUUGGUGUAUAAAAUAAUUAAAGUAGCUUCCCCCUUUUGAUAUCAAUAAAGUUUUACUCUUUUCAAUUCUAAAAUCCAUUUCAUGUAUGUCGUUUAUGGAAUGAAAUAUUCCAUAAACGACAGUAUAUGUCAGUUUGUCUCUGAUGACGUUGCAUGUUUAACAUAAACUGCAGUCUUUAAACCAAGAUAAGCAUUUGUUAAGAACCAUGAAGUAUUGUUGCUGAAUGAGGUGCAUCUCAUGACUAAGAGGUUCAACAAGUGUUGGCAUUACUUCAGUGGGAGCUGGCGGUUAGCUGUGACACAACAUUACAGUGUUUUUAUUACUGUUGCAGAUUCUAUCAGUGCCUUUUUUAAUUGCUUCAUAAAGUGAGCUCAUGACAAGUUAUAGUUUGAUAUUUAGAAAAUCUUAUAGCACAGAGUUAGCUUGAUUUUGUUAGAAUGUGUUUUGAUUUUUAUUGGGGGAUUUUUUUUUUGGAGUGGAGGGUGGGAAUGUUUGAGGUUGUAAAUUGAAGAUUAAAGCUAUUUUUGUAAUUAAGUAACAUGAAAUCUGGUGAAUUAAAGUUGUAAACAGAAAUAAACGCUCUACUUUUAUGCUUUCUUGUGAUCUCUUUGUUUAAAAUUGUUUUAUCCAUUUUUAAUUAAAAUUCUCUCCAUGGUGUUGAUAGUAACAUUUUGCAUAAAUAAUGUAUUACAGUAAUUUAUUACUUUUUGGUGUAGCAAAAGGGUAUAAAAUAUUUUUCCCCGCUCAUGAUCUGUCAGACACGUACCCUGCAUUUGCCCUAAGGUAGCUGGGAAAAGCAGCAACAUCCAGACCCUUCUGGAAACGAAGCUGGUACUGAUAAUAAUGGAUAAUAGAUUACCACACCAAAUCGUCUCCAUUACAUUCUACAAGUAAUUAAUGGACUCAUAAGACAGAUUCCAAUCACAUCUUGUCCCAAAAAACCAUUGAAGCAACACUCAAACAUGGUGGUAGAAGAAUAAUGAUUUAAGGUUGCUUCACCUUUUACGCGAAGUUUUCAACAGUGAUGGAAUUGUUAAUUCUUCUCAAUCAAAAACUUCUACAAAAAAAAGAUCUUUUACAAUCUCUUUGGGGUUUAAAGGUUCUGCACCAGAAAAAUAAUUCCAAACUUUAAGACCUUUGAAUGAGUAGAAAUAAAGGUUUUGAUCUGACCAAAAAUGAGUACAAACAAAGCUGAGAAAAUCCUGCAACUAAUAAAUAAAAGGAUUUCAAUUUUAUGAAUGAAAAAAUCGUAUACUCUGUGAACCCUGCAUCAAAAAAGACAUGCUGUCUGUCACUGAUUUCACUUGCGAAAUGCUGCUUAAACGUUAAUCAGUGACAAGUGUCAAUGUAGAGUCAUGAAUACACUGUUGGCAAUGUAAGUUCUAACUAAUGCAUGUCUGCAGACUGCAUAACUGCAAUCAUUUCACAUCAAUAAAUCAUGUGAAAUGUGAAGUCAAGUCUGUGCAGAACACCUUCAGAUUCUAAACAAGGGUUGGACUCCAGGAGCCAAAAAGGUGAGUUUUAUUUCUCUUUUCUGUAAAUUUUAUUCAAAAAAUGUCCAAGAUGUUUCGCUUACCACAGUGACAGCUGGAAUAUCCUCAGUGUUGUGAGCCUGAACACAAGGAUCAGAUCAAAAUGAUGAAUACUGAUUACUUGGACAGGUAAAAGAAAAGGAACUCUUAAUAGAAGUUAAGAACCAGAUUGUAGUUAUGGGUAAAAAGUUCAAUUUAAAACAUAAACAAGUGGGAUUACAUCAACUCACUUCCUCUCCCUUUGAAGAAAUUAAUCAAACUUUUUGGACAGACUUCAUAUUGAAUGGAUUCAGUGUGUUAUUUAUUGUAGAUAUAAGUUAAAACAUGUCUAUUUAUACAGAUUUUAUAAGGUAUUUAUUUGAGAAUUUACAUAGAGUAUCUUAUUGGUUUUAUUGUAUUGCAGAUGCUGAUGGUGUAUUUGUAGUACUGGACUCUCCUGCAUCACCACACUUUAUCAUAAUUGUAAGUGAUUAUUGUCUUUGGAUCUUUAGUUUUAUGUUUGGUGGAUCAAGCAUCUUUAUAUAUUUACACCCCAGGAGGAAGAUGAAGAGACCACUUCUGCUGUAACAGAAAUUGACAAAGCGAGACCCAUCGAGGUAUAUGAUGCCCCCCCUCUUUCUUAUUUAUUAAAUGAGAUAAAUAUUGUCAUUGAAAUUUUACAGAAUAUUACUGGGGAUGUAAAUGCAGAAGAGGGUCAGUGUACCUCCACCAUGACUCUUGGCAGUGUAAGAACAUUUCUGCAGCUACAAUUUUCCCAUGUUAAUAUUUGGUCUGUAUUGCAAACGUCUAAUUCCAAUUAUGUGGAAUUACUUUGUCUCUGUAGUUUCCUGCCAGAGAGCUGUAUAAAGUUCAUCUUCUAAGGCAAAUUAGAAAAUGUGACCUUUAGAUGGACCUUAUACAACUUAAUGCCUAAAAAAGACCAGCUUUGAAAUAGAAUUGCUGGAACAUCAGCUUAAGGUGAGAAAAGGUAUGUGUACAUUUAAUCUGUUAUUUGUUAAAUGGAGCAUAAAGAAAUAAAUUCCCUUUUUUUAUUACAGCAAAUAAAGAAUGAAUAACUAGCCUUUGACUCUUGAUUGACUGAUUUUAUUUGACAGAAUUUUGGCAAAUCAUGUCCCGUACUACCCUGCCAUCUCUUUGGUCAGCUGGGUUUAAUGGAGCAUUCACUUGGUCGUCUUCAUCAAGAGGUGGCGGGCCCUCUCACCUAUCAUGCUGGGGAUGUAGUGAGGAACAACACAUGCAGCUGUGAUGUCACGUGCCCUCUCUGGGCUGACCCUGAGCCUACGUAGGCACUGCAAUCUUGCCUUCAGGAUGCCUAUAGUCAUCUCUACCCUGACCCGUGUUCUGCUGUGGGUCAGGUUGAAUUGUGCCUGUUGUCGAGGCUGAGGUUCAGGGUAAGGGGUCAUCAGAUAUGGCAGACAAGGAUUCCCCCUCUGUCCCCCA
rnacentral:lncRNA from 1 species